rnacentral:rRNA from 1 species
UACGUAGGGUGCAAGCGUUGUCCGGAAUUAUUGGGCGUAAAGAGCUCGUAGGCGGUCUGUCGCGUCUGCUGUGAAAACUCGGGGCUUAACCCCGGGCCUGCAGUGGGUACGGGCAGACUAGAGUUCGGUAGGGGAGACUGGAAUUCCUGGUGUAGCGGUGAAAUGCGCAGAUAUCAGGAGGAACACCGGUGGCGAAGGCGGGUCUCUGGGCCGAUACUGACGCUGAGGAGCGAAAGCGUGGGGAGCGAACAGG